UACGUAGGAGGCGAGCGUUGUCCGGAGUUACUGGGCGUAAAGGGCGCGUAGGCGGCUCAUGAAGGCUGUGGUGAAAGUCCGGGGCUCAACCUCGGAUCGGCCGUGGCGACUCGUGGGCUGGAGCACUGUAGAGGCGGGUGGAAUUCCGGGUGUAGCGGUGGAAUGCGUAGAGAUCCGGAAGAACACCAGUGGCGAAGGCGCCCGCUGGGCAGUGGCUGACGCUGAGGCGCGACAGCGUGGGGAGCAAACAGG
rnacentral:rRNA from 1 species